AACGAACGCUGGCGGCGUGCCUAAUACAUGCAAGUCGAACGAGAAAGUCCCUUCGGGGACAAGUAAAGUGGCAAACGGGUGAGUAACACGUAAGUAACCUAUCCCCGAGCUCGGGAUAACACUUCGAAAGGAGUGCUAAUACCGGAUGUGGUUGAUGAAAGAAAUCUUUUAUCAAUUAAAGGAGGCCUCUUCUAUGCUUCCGCUAGGGGAGGGGCUUGCGGCCUAUUAGCUUGUUGGUGAGGUAAUGGCUCACCAAGGCGAUGAUGGGUAGCCGGCCUGAGAGGGUGUACGGUCACACUGGAACUUAGAUACGGUCCAGACUCCUACGGGAGGCAGCAGUAGGGAAUAUUGCGCAAUGGGCGAAAGCCUGACGCAGCAACGCCGUGUGAGCGAUGAAGCUUUUCGGAGUGUAAAGCUCUGUCAGAGGG
rnacentral:rRNA from 1 species